rnacentral:lncRNA from 1 species
UUCGGCUGAGAAACCUGAGUGCCUGAUUCCUGGAUUAAUGCUGGUUGCCGUGGAUUCCUGAAGGUGAGAAGAUGUACAGUAGAUGUCACAGGUGAGCGUGCUGCCUUUGUCAUGAGCAGAACUUCUAGCCUGGUGAGCUCUGCUGGGUAGCGUGUGAAUGCUAAGGGCCUCACAACUAAUUUGAAAUGCUGACCAAAGACAGACAGAAGGCAGCUUCUCAACCUCUUUCCUCCAAGCUUCUAUUCUACUCCUCACCCUUGGGGUUUAACCGUUCCAAUUGCCAAAGGAGGAGAUGAAUACAUAUAUUUAAAUAAAUGAAAGAUUGAAGGCUUCUUUCCUAAAGGCUUGAGCAGAGCUAAUGUAGCCUCUUCUCCC